ensembl:lncRNA
UGAUUAUUUUGAUGGAAAUCAUCCAAACUUACAGAUUGAUCUUUAACUUUAUUACCAGACAAAAUGUCACGGUCCGCAGUGGCAGACCGUGUGGAGAGUGUGUGGAGGACACGAAACUGAGUUCGAACGAAAAGCGAGCCUUUAUUGUGGCUGAAUGACAAGGAGUUCAAACAAGGCAGAAACGCAGUGACAAAACUAAACUAUAACUAAACUGGGAAACUGAUACUAUGAUAAACUAUGAAGACACAGAAAACCAUGACUACGAAUACAAAGACUGGCUGUGAAAACAUGGAGGGUGGGAACACAGACGACACGACACAGACUGCCUGAAACACAGAGACUAAAUACACAUGAGGGAUGAUCAGGGGAAGUGGCCACACAUGGGAGCACAGCUGACACACGUGAACCUAAAGACAGGACAGGAGAGGUGCAACUACAUAUACUGACAUUAAAUGCAGACUUUCAAAGUAAAACAGGAAACAUGGACAUGACAUGAACUAAACAUAACCACGCAGACAUGACGCAUGAACCAGGGAGACUUGGUACAGGGGGAGAUGACAUAAACAGCUAAGGAACAAGACUAAACAGCAAUCUCAAAAUAAACUAGAUGAGCUGAACUAGGGCACAAAUGAAUACAAAAGAUACAUGAAACUCAAACACUGGGUCACUCGACCCAGGACCAUGACACAAAAAGCCAAACAGUUCAGAACUUUUUGUGAUCUUUAUCAUUAUUAUUAUUAUGGUGACAUUUUAUAGGGAAAUUAACCAUCGUCAUUAAAUCCUAAUUGGAGAUUUAAACUCUUAGACAAGAACUUCACUGACUUGAAGUGUCGGGGCUUCAAAAUCAGUAGAAAAAUGCUUUGGGCUUCAACCCGAGUCCCCCUCUGCGCGGGCGUCAGAUGGUGUACUCUGGAGGUGUGCGUCCGCACUGAGGGUCAUUCUGGUCAGCGGCCUUCUAAGUGGCAUCUAACAAGCCGCAGAGCUGGAGUGUAAAGGGUCACCGAUCGGGUCGCUGCUAAACAAAGCUCAUCACAGGUUGUUAACACUGAAUUUCACUCAUUCGAUGCUUCAGCUCGGAGAGGCGGCGAGCUUCAGGGUGGAGGACGAGACGCCGUCAAGUCUGUGAGUUCAAACAAAAAUGAGGAAAGAAAAAG